rnacentral:rRNA from 1 species
AUACGAAUGGAGCAAGCGUUGUUCGGAAUCACUGGGCGUAAAGCGUACGUAGGCGGAUUUUUAAGUCAGAAGUGAAAGCCCAGGGCUCAACCCUGGAACUGCUUUUGAAACUGGAAGUCUAGAGUCCCGGAGAGGUUAGGGGAAUUCCGAGUGUAGCAGUGAAAUGCGCAGAUAUUCGGAGGAACACCAGUGGCGUAGGCGCCUAACUGGACGGGAACUGACGCUGAGGUACGAAAGCGUGGGGAGCAAACGGGAUUAGAUACCCUAGUAGUCC